UCCAAGUUUCAGUUUCGUCUUCCUUCCAUCGAUAUUGUUUGUUUGCGAAUCCUUCCUUUUUCGUAAGUUUUCAAACUGAAGGUUGUAGAAAUUCUAGGUUUUGUUAUCUUUAAUGCUGGAAGAUUGAGAGUAAUGGAAAACAAAGAGGGCGAGGACGAUGAAUCGAAAAGAUCUGUUAACUCUCUCUCUCUCUCUCGCUCUCAAACAAUUGUAUUGUUUUUUAAUAUGAUAUGUUGUUAUGUUAUGCUUUUGAACUUUGUAAGAUGUUCUAGGUUUGAGAUAAUCUGUGGUUUUACAUAACUAAUUCGAUUACUGAAAUUGAUUUUUGUUUCCCUUCUUAAGCCCUAAUAUAAUAUUAACUGUUAUGAUGUUUUGCUUGAUUGCUAGAAAUUUAUAUUUUGAUAAACCAAAUCUAGAAAUCUCUGCUAUUUUUUGAAAUCAAAAGACCAAAGAUUACAUGGUAGAUAGUAUCAAAAGUUUCUUAUAAAUCAGAAAAAACCAUGGUGAAAGGUGAGAAUGAUUUUGCAAAUAUUUAAUCUUAGAAAUCUCUGAUAUUGUCUCUACCAGAUCCUCUAUAAUAAGCAUAUUCCUGGGCUUCUUCAAUAACUUAGAAGGGCUCGGACACGUUUGAGGAAAUAACCUUGCAAGUUGGAAUUACAUUGUCAGAGGAGAUGUGCCAACCAAGUUGGGAUUUCUACCAGUAGAGUGAGCUCUAGCUUUCUUUUUCUUUUGUUGCUUUUUUUGUAGUAAUAGUGCUUUGUAAUAUCUUAUACACCCUCCUAAAAAUGAAUUGUAAUAUUGAUGAACUUGCAGUACUUAGUUUCUUGGGUCAACUUUGUUUUGGCCCACUGAGGAGAUAUUUCUGUGUGGACUUCUAGAAUCAGGUGCCUUUGAAAGCGAUGGAGAAUGUGGAAAGUAUGUUGAAGAAGCUCUUUCUGCAUGUGUUUAAUCUAGUCUGGGUUUGAUGGAAUCACUGGGGAUACUCUUGAAUGAUGCUCUGGUUCAAAAACUUAGCAUCAUUAUUACAUAGAAAUAUAUCUGAUUAAGGUAAUUAAAAUCUUUGCGCAAAUAUCUAAUUUCACCAGUAUUGUUAAUAUCUAUUUCCAGGUCUAUUGUACUUCCAUUGAUAUGUUACCACAUUGCUUGGUCGUACUAAUAUCGGGUUUAAAGAUGAGUAUAUUUAUUGUUUGUUUUGGUUUUCAGAUGCUAUCAUCCAACUACAUAAAUUUGAUGAGUUGAUGGGAGACAAGAUUAUUAGCUAAUCUUUGAGAAGUGGUUGAUAUUCUUCGGCUGGAGAAUGAAAAAUACAGACAUGAGACCGAGGCUCAAAUUUCAGCCAUUCUAUGCAUUCAAUAGAGAUCAAACGUGUUGCAGGUCUUAGAAUAUAAAUUCUCUCUCUCUUUUUUUCUUCUUUUUAUCUUUAUAUAUGUGUGUGCCCUUGUAGUUUGAUGCAUGCAAACAUUCAGAAUGUUUUCUUGAAUAUUUGCUUGUUGUUUUUUGCACUGAAAUGUCUAAUUAUCUUUGUAAAAAUAUUAUAGCUUGAUUUAUUGUGGAUAACCAAGUUAAAUAUUAACAUUGAUGUAUUGCAUCAAGGAUCAAUGCAUACUCAAAAUAUCAUAUAUAGAUUUGAAGGAAGGUUGCAAACAAGUGAACAUAUGUUUAUUUUUCAAACGUUUUGACAUGGAAGCGUGAAUAUCGUGUACUUCACUUUCAGUAAGUAUUUAAAUUCUACCUGUAUGCCCCUAUAUCUAUGUGAUUUUAUUUGUACUUUUUGUUUCUUGGUGUUGGCAUAUUUUAAUUAUCAGUGUUAUAAAGAAAUAUAACGCCACUAGAAAAAAAGGCACACCAAAUAUUUUCAAAUAAACCGUUGUUUAAUUUCAAUACAGCUUUAUAACAAAUCAGAAGAUAAUCAUAAUCAAUGAAGAUAAUUGAACCACAAACCACUAUUUCAAUUUUAUGAUAGAACUUAUCGAGGGUGACACAAACAAAUAAACUCCAAUUAGGGAAACUAGAACUUGGUGAUGUGCAGCAGAUGGAUACUCAACAUUGAGCACAUUGGAAGCCAGUUAGGCUUUCUUUCAACAGGAUCUAAAAACCAAGCUGAGAGGAAGUGGGACAUUGAGAUUCUCAUAUCGAGUAUGUUAGUUGUGAUGGCUGUGCAAAGGCAAGGUGCAACAAAGCAUCAAAUAAGGGUGCAACAAGGGUAGUCAGGACUCAGGAGCAGCACCCACCUCAACUCUAACCAGCCCACCAAGAAAAUUAGUACAAAUACCUAGCUUUAGGGAAUCUCUUACUCUCUUAGACAUGGACCAUAAUGAAUGAAUACUAGGCUUUGGAUAAUUUGGUUUGUGAAGCUUCAAAUGGUGCUUGCAUUGGUUGGUGAGAGCAAUCAUUAGCAGUGACUAAAAGAAGGGGAUGUUUAGUAAGAGAAAGAGAACAGAUUAUGCUGAGUUCUUAAAACCGAGGUUAGAAAUAAAUAUUGUGUAAAAAAUUCAACAAUUUGUGAAAAUGGUUCACAACAAGUCUUAAAGUUGUAUGGGUAGAUUUAUCCCUUUACGAAUUUGAAAUGUGUUCCUAAGCAUUUGAUGAUUGAAUCACAUUAAGUUUGCGAAUCAAUACAAAUAAUCGUUAGAAUAAAAAAAAUAUUUUUCUUUCUAAUUUCAACUUUAGUUCCGUUCAGACUUUUAUAUGAAAAUAACAAAUAUCAGCUAGGGUUCUUAUGGUUUGAAAUGUUUAAAUUCAACAACAUACCUUUCUUAUUAUCCUAUCUCACUUAUUAGACAAGAGACCAUUGCUCUGCAUGGUCACUGCAUAAUGCAUAUAGAUAUGUGAGUAAUUUGAUCAGUCUUCUUUGCUCUCUCUUGUACAUUUUAUAAAUCCCUUGCCAUGGUUCUUGACAAAAGGAGUACUAUGUAUUCUUCUUAGUCUUUGUACUUGCUUGGCCCAGAUGAUACUGGCACAAAGAGUAUAUCCUACAUUGGUUUCUUGGCGGAACUUCCAACCUCUUUCUGCAUCCUUCCUCUAGUCGUUGACUUAUCUUCCCUUUUCUCUUUGGAGUUCGACUCACUUACUUCCUCAUUUUCCAUCAUAAAAGAUUUCCUCUUUUUGAAUGGAGUGAUCAUAGCUCUUUCUGUAGUUUCUUGUCCUGUUAUUAGAAAUCAAACAAUACCAACUUAAAUAGAUGAAUUCAUAGUUGUGAUUUCGUAAGUGAUUUCUUUAAAUUACAAUCUUCCUUUUUUUUUUUGAAAGUCAAGUUCGUUUCAGUUUCUUUGUUUAAUUAAAUACAUUGUACAUACAGUAGUUUAGAAUUGUGUAUAACUAAGUUCGUUAUGUAAUGUAUUAAGUGCAACAAAUCCUUAGAUCCUUAAAUAAGUCAAAAUAUCUACAUCUUAAUUAAAAAAAAACAGUGUAUAUAAUAAACUCGAAAAGCAUUGAUAUUUUGCUAAAUUGAUAGAUUAUUAAUUUAUCGAUUAAUUAAUAUCUCACUAAAUAAAUAGAUUUGGGUGGUCCCAACACUAUUAGUUUAUAGGGUUUUAGUGUAUGAACUUUGUGGAUUCGGCUUGAAACAUAAUGCCUAGAAGUAGUUAGUUACAUCACUAAAAACGUGGAUGUAGCAUAUUCCUUGCUAAUCAUUAUAUAAUUAAAUAUUAUGAGUGAACACAUAUGACUAUAUUUUAUGCCGAAAGAUGUCUCUUUAAAAAAGGAUGGAGUUAUGUUCCGAUUCUCAUGAUUUAUUUUUUUUUUUCCUUAACCAAAAACACUCUUUUUUAGCGGGAUAUAUCCUUAGCAUCUUUAAUUAAGAGGGGAAGAAUUAUACAAAUGUCAAUUGUUGAAAACUAGUGAAUCUGAUGGACUUUUAAGUAACUAGUUUUCAACAAUUGAUUUGAUGAAAAAAUUUAAUUCUUCUUUAGGGCAGUCAUGUACAAAAGAAUUCUAAUUGCUGAUCAUAUAUGCUGUUUGUGUCUUAAUUAAUCUAUCUGUCACCUUUACACUGUGCUUUUACUCUUAAGGUGUGAAAGACCCUAACAAAGCCACUGAAUUUAUGGGUAUUUGUUUGCAGUGAAAGUCAGUAAAAGAUUCGAGGAAGACUUGUCCAAAAGUUGCUCUCGGGAAUGGGCUGGGUAUUAAGUUACUAAGGUCUGGCAGUUGCUGCCAUAUGCAACAAUGUGGAUAAGCUUCAAAUGGGUAGAUUUUCGUGAGGAAGGUGUUUCAGGAGGAAAUAUUGUAGGCAAGGAUCAAAGCAACUAUUUGGUUCUGGUGUGUGCUAGACUGCUAGGUCUGUAAUCUCCUUCCUUUUAUCAAUAAAUAUUUGAGUUACGAAAGAAAUCUAGUUUUCAAGUUACCAUCUAAAUAUUGGUUGCCACGUGUAAAUAAAAUGCUAAUGAAAAACAAAUCAAUGUACAAUAUUAUAUUUUUUCUAGAAGAAGGAAUUGAAACUUAAAAGAAUUAAGAUCUUACUUUGAUUAUUGGACGCCGAAGCACUUGACUGCAAAUGUUUUCCUCCUGUGUGUUCAGCACUUUUGUCCCUGCAGUUCGAGUAUGUUAUAACCA
rnacentral:lncRNA from 1 species